ACAUGCCUACAACAUAGCAUUAAUGCACCGGAUCCCAAUAUAACUCUACAGUUAAGCACGCUCGGGAUAGAGCAGCACUGGGUUGGCUGACUGCCCGGGAAGUCCUAGUGUUUUACAUGCC
rnacentral:rRNA from 1 species